GAGUUUGAUCAUGGCUCAGAACGAACGCUGGCGGCGUGCCUAAGACAGCAAGUCGGACGGAAAGGCACCUUCGGGUGCACUCGAGUGGCGCACGGGUGAGUAACGCGUGGGUAAUCUGCCCUCAGGUCGGGGACAACUCCGGGAAACUGGAGCUAAUACCGGAUGAGACCACGAGGUCCUCGGAGCUCGCGGGAAAAGAUGGCCUCUCCUUGGAAGCUAUCGCCAGAGGAUGAGCCCGCGUCCCAUUAGUUUGUUGGUGAGGUAACGGCUCACCAAGGCGACGAUGGGUAGCUGGUCUGAGAGGAUGAUCAGCCACACUGGAACUGAGACACGGUCCAGACUCCUACGGGAGGCAGCAGUCGGGAAUUUUGGGCAAUGGGGGCAACCCUGACCCAGCAACGCCGCGUGAGGGAUGAAGGCCUUCGGGUCGUAAACCUCUGUCGGGAGGGAAGAACGUCUUCCGGGUGAACAAUCCGGGAGGCUGACGGUACCUCCAAAGGAAGCACCGGCUAACUCCGUGCCAGCAGCCGCGGUAAUAC
rnacentral:rRNA from 1 species